AUCAUCGUCAGUUAUACUGAAGGGACCUACUGCUACGGGGGAUUUGUCACUUGGUCUCUGGUCCCUUCCUUCUCGUAACUGAAACUUCAGUUCCCUUUGGGAAAUUACAUCUAUCAUUUUCCGUCUUUGGAAACUAUUCACAAAAGCUCCCACAACCAAAACAUAAAGAGCAGGCAUGUUUUCCUCUGGAGUGUCACGCAAGCGAAGUUAGGCGAGGACUGGUGAGACUAAAUAUGUUGUCGAAACUGUGCCUCUCUCUGGUAUUCAGCUGCAAGCUACAGUCAACCCCACUUCAGAUAGGGUAGUCAACUCUGGUAGUUUUGUGGCAGCGCACAAUCCAGAAAUAAGCAGCUGCUAGCUUUGGUUCAGUUGCUCAACACUGUUUGGACUGCUGUAUGGGUGAUAUUCUUGGUCUUCCCCUCGCAAACACAGAGUCCCUACAGACCUUCCUGCACUGCACCCAAGGUCAAGGCAGAGAGAGAUGAGUUUCAGUUUUCCUUACUAGGACAUUAAAAUCUCUUUUAAAACUCCCAACUGUCUUUGUCCUUGUAUAUUCUGGUUGGAUCUGCAUCUCGUGACCCUGUGAGCUGCCAGGGGAACAGGAAGGCCAGAAUUUACUUUCUGCAGUCCCUGGGGAAGGAAGCAGACUGUGAUUGCAGUUACAGGGAUACCAAGAAGCAGCUUUGGCUCUCCACCAGCUGCACCAGAGGGGACAAUUAGAUCCCAGUCCAGGGCUCCGCGCCUUCCAGAUGUAACUCUCAAGCUUUCAGCUCUGUUAAGGUUUCCACACAGGCUUGGCUUCAGGCUGUUUGGUCUUCAGUUGGUGGUACUAUUUUUGGAGUUUCUGGGAACCGUGGGACAUGGAGCCGAGCUGGAGGAAGCCGACCAAGAAUAGCGUGGUCCCUAGAUUAUGGCACAAACAACCUCCAGAGAGAGCCAGCCUGCUGCCAGGAAGAGGGACUUGAAGAUCAGAGGCCAGGAAGGCAGUCAUGGCCUUGCCAUG